GACCAUUUGAAGGUUAAGGUUAAGGUUUAAGCUUAAGAAUACUGAGACCCAAGAUGUUAAAAAUAACUUACAAACCUAGUAAAUGGUGGAUCCAGGAUUACAACUGAAGUUGGCUUAACUCCAAAGCUCAUGCUGUGAAGCACCAUGCUGCACUGUCUUUCAGAAGAGCAAAGCUUGCAGGGACCUCUCCUUGAUGGGUCGAAAGGUCUUUUGUACAAAUAAUUUGGGGGGCCCGUGGGAAGAAGAUAUUUGAAUAACGUGCCACAAGUCCAAAUCCACCACCUCUACAGAGCUCUUUGCCUUUGGGCAUGUCUCUUUGCUUCUGAUUCCCAUCACUUUUUCUCUUUUCUUUUACUUUGAUUGACUGUUCCAAUAGCCCUAUCAGCAUUGUGGGACUUAACUGAGUAGCAGAGCCUGGAAACACCUCAUUGCAUCUGAAACCUAGAGAAGACGCUGGAUGUAAGACACAUACUUACAGCAACAGCCACUGACAAGAUUAUGAUACAGAAUAGAGAAGAGGAGCAAAUGCAAAGAUGAUUCCUUUGACAAGAUGAAAAACGGUACUCUAAUACACCUGCUUUGUAAGUCUCUAUUUUCACACAUAGCAGGCUUGUUUACAGCUGGCUAAAGAUCUGCUGCACAGCAGCACUGACCCCACUGCAUUCUUUCUACACCAAUAAAUUUCCUCUGCUGCCUCAUUCAGAUAGCCUAGCUGCUGUUUAGAGUGAAAUUCUUCCACCUUCAAGCAAGAAUCAGAGGUUCUUUCAGGCUUCACACAAUAAUAUGAUGAAGAGGCACGCUGAAGGUGAAUAAACACUAAUUUGUUUGCGUGUGAAUAAGGCAUCAUUUAUGUAGCAACUUCUACAGAUUGGGUACUGGAGAUUUUUCCAAAACGAAUAAUGCUCCUGCUUUUGAGCUUACAAUGUAGUAGGAAAGAUAAACAGAGUGUGAUAAGUGACAUCAUAAAGGCACAAACAAAUUCCUGUGAGCACAAAGUGGAAAGCCCCUGAGCUGGAAAAUAGCACUGAGGUGGUUUCAUGAAAGAGGAAGCAGCAAGGCUGGGCCUUGAAGAACGUGAAGGAGUCACCCAGCUAGAGAGGGCAGGAGGGUGUUCCACGAAGUACAAACAUCAUGAACAGAAAGUCAAAGAGUGAAAGUGAAGGGAGGAUUGGGGAGCAGUGAACAGACAAUGUGAGAGAGCUGCGGCACCAUGGAGAAGAGUAAUGAGAGGGACAUCCUGAAGGAAAGACAAUAUGAAGGACUGUCGAUGCCAAAGAAAGGACUUUCAGCCAUAUGCACGCAAUGGGGAGCAAUGCAAGAUUGUCAACCAAGAGACUGAGGUGACCAGAUCUGCUUCACAGCAGCAGCAGCAGCAGUGUACAUGGAAGAUUAGAGGACCGAGAGAGAUGCAUGUCAGGAAAAUCAGCUAACAGACUCUAAAAUAACUAAGACUUGAGAAAGAUCUGGAUCAAAGCUUUAACAGCAGCAAUAAAGAAAAAAGAAGAGACAUUUCUGUAAUCAGAUCUAGAAAAGUUGAUGACCCCCAGGAUAACAGCCAUGAAAGUGCUGCUACCACAAACAUGAGGAAACUUCUGUUAGGAGUUCAACCUUCAGAGAGGACAGCUGGCAGUGCAAGAUGGUGACAGCCCUGCAAUCAGGAGAAGAAAGUCAUGAGAGUAAGGAAUGAUGGAGAGGGAUGAGAGCGUUUUCUAGGAUUUGAAGAGUUAAGAGACUCUGAAUAAUUGGCAGGGGAAGCUGGGAUGGAGAACAAAGUAGGAGAAGAAUCAUUUGCUGUGAACUCUGUAUUUGGAUUCCAUUUUUGAUGAUCUUUGAAAAUGGGAAUAAAGGAUUUGGGUUAUUUUUAAAUUCCUUUGGAGGCUAGACAGUUUCCCUAAAUUCAGCAUUCCCUUUGAAACUAGACCGCAUGAGUCUCUGGUUUGUGCAGGGUUACCCUGGGUCAGAGUUGCCUCUAGAAUAAGCAAUGGGUAAGUCCUUGAGCUGUUGGAAGCGCAUGGAGUGCCUGACAGUCUUCUGCACAUUAGGCAUAGGGGACCCUUUUGGGGGAAGAGGAUGAAGAAUAGGAGGGGUGAUGGGAGCAUGUUGGGUUGUGCCAGUUUAAAGAGAACGUGAAAAAGAUAAGCAAGCAAAUGAGGCUGCAAAAGAGGAAUCAUGGGAGAAUGAGGAAAAUUAAGUGAUCAUAGCAUCCCUGAGGUCAAAAGAGCAGGGGUUUCAGGGAGAGUGCCAGGGCAUUAGUUAAUACAAAGAAGAGACCACUGGCUUUGCACCCUGGAGGUCAAUGCUAUCCUCUUCCUAAUCCAUUACUAUAGAGUGAUGGGGACCAGCGUUUGUGUAUUGAGGAGAUAAUGAGAAGUGUAAAUGGAAAACAACCAGAAGAUAACAAGGAUAAACAACUCUUUCAAAAAUAUAGUCACAGGUCACUUAACAGGACUACAUUCUGAGAAAUGCACUAUUAGACAAUUUUAUUGUUGUGCGAACAUCAACAGAGUAGCUUACACAAACCUAGAUGGUGUAGCCUACUAGGCUAGAAGGUGUAGUCUAUUGAUCCUAGGCUACAAACCUAC
rnacentral:lncRNA from 1 species